rnacentral:rRNA from 1 species
CCUACGGGUGACAGCAGUGGGGAAUAUUGCACAAUGGGGGAAACCCUGAUGCAGCGACGCCGCGUGCGUGAAGAAGUAUUUCGGUAUGUAAAGCUCUAUCAUCAGGGAAGAAAAUGACGGUACCUGACUAAGAAGCCCCGGCUAACUACGUGCCAGCAGCCGCGGUAAUACGUAGGGGGCACGCGUUAGCCGGAUUUACUGGGUGUAAAGGGAGCGUAGACGGUGCAGCAAGUCUGAUGUGAAAGGCCGUGGCUCAACCCGGGGAGUGCAUUGGAAACUGUUGAACUGGAGUACAGGAGAGGUAAGCGGAAUUCCUAGUGUAGCGGUGAAAUGCGUAGAUAUUAGGAGGAACACCAGUGGCGAAGGCGGCUUACUGGACUGUAACUGACGCUGAGGUUCGAAAGCGUGGGUAGCAAACAGGAUUAGAUACCCCUGUAGUC